GACGAACGCUGGCGGCGUGCCUAACACAUGCAAGUCGAACGGAAGUAAGUGCUUCGGUAUUUACUUUAGUGGCGAACGGGUGAGUAACGCGUGAGGAACCUGCCUUUCAGUGGGGGACAACAGUUGGAAACGACUGCUAAUACCGCAUAAGACCACAGAGCCGCAUGGCUCGGGGGUCAAAGGAGAAAUCCGCUGAAGGAUGGCCUCGCGUCCGAUUAGCUAGUUGGCGGGGUAACGGCCCACCAAGGCGACGAUCGGUAGCCGGACUGAGAGGUUGAUCGGCCACAUUGGGACUGAGACACGGCCCAG
rnacentral:rRNA from 1 species